UGUUUCAUAUCUGUCUCUUUCUCUCUCCCUCUACCACUCUUUCGCUUUACGUACGGUUUGCUUGCUUCCUAAUUCCAAAGUCUUUAAGCUGUACGUGAGGGAAAGACCUUCAGAGAAUAAUUUAGCACGAGGGAGUGAAGGAAAAAGUGGAAUGAAAAAAACUAGCCUGCAUUUUUGCCUCGAGGGCCUCCCUACUAGCGGGCCCAGUCGUAGAGAGAGAAUGCAAGACAGAGCUACACCAAAGCCUACCCAAAACCUGCCAACACGUUCCCAUUUUGUAGCAUGCUACUGCAUUUGAUUGCACCUGAUUUCGACGCUUUUCGAACGUGGUUUGCGACAAAGCUGAAUUGUGCGAUUUUGGAGCGGUUUUGUAUCUUGGAAAUGUCUUUUUAGAUUUCGUUUAUUAAUGAGAGAGCAGAUGGAGCUUUUUGCCGCCGUGACCUGCAACCCAUGCCAGCCCAUGCCAGUGCAGCGCCGGGCACCGUGUCACACCGAAAGAUUUGCCUUCGGAACGCCUUCAGGAACGCGUUUCUCUUGAAGCGUUCUGACAGGGAGUUCUGUCGUGAAGGAGCGUUCAUCUGGGACAGAUGCCAAAUGCUUACAAAAGCCAAAGUAAAAACGUUCAGGCCGUCGCAGGAAAGCUGCUGUGAGUGAUUUGUGCGAUGAAAAUGUUACAGACUUGUGGUGGUUGGGGGGUUGAAUGGACAUAGAGUAUGGUGAAUUCUUCCUUUACACAAGCUCUCAUGUGUCCGUGACCAUGAUGCAACUAUCGGACACAUGCAGCUGCAAAACACACCGACCCUGGUCGCGUUUAGAACCGCAGGGUGAGAAAAAGACAUUAAAAAGGCCAUGAAGAAUAGAAGGAGGCAAGAAGACGAAGAUGGUGUUGGUGUUGGGAGGUAUUCAAGCUAGUGAAAUGUUUCUCAGGCCUACGAGAGCAGAAUGCAUGAGCCGUGGUAGCCGAGGGAUGAUUUGCAUGCAGAAGACACGCUUAUUGUGUGUUUGCUAACAUGCACCAUUCAGAGAGACGCGCUCCAGGUUGCAAACGGGGUUCACACACGCCUCCCAGACGUCCCGGAGGCCCCCUAUUGUUCCAGAGGCCCAGCGGAGUAGCCGGAGUGCUGCGCCGGCCUGCUUCCCGAGAGGAGAGGGGGAACUGGAAUUAGAGACCGGGUAAACGGGAUAGCGGAUCGGGACAGCUCCCCCUCGCAAUCCCGGAGUCAAAGCCCCUGUCUUUUUUUCUCCACAGGAAGAAAGGACAUCCUAGAAAGACUGCUACCUCCGUACGCUGACUGUCCAAGCCUCGCAGAUGUGUGAAGAAGUGAAAUCCGACUCUGCACAGACGCAGAGAGACAGAAGCCUGGAGAUGAAGAUGGAAGAUGUAGAGAUUUGAAAACCACUCUGACCCCCUGAGCAUCUGUUCACGGCUGACAUCAUAAAAGGUGUCAAUUAAAAUCCACACAACAUAUAAUCUCUUUGUAUCACUAAUGUGUUCACGCUGUAGGCUGUUUUCACACUUGGUCCGAUUACUUGGUCCAAACCCAAUUUUGAUUUCGCCCCCCUCACUGGUACUAACUGUGGUACAUUUGCGUUAUCAACAUGAGUACUACUACUAGCCAAAAUACUGUUAUUCUACAAACUGUGUUUAGGGUUUUUUCCAAAAUCCGCAGACCGAAACCAAAAUUUCAAAUUUCUAAUUUGUAAUUUCUCCUUGAGCUUUCAAGCUACAUCCACCAAACUUGGCACAGACCUUGAAGGGGGUCGAACACCGGACGAGAAGCGUCAUGACACGGCACAAGUAUCAAACACGGGGCACGUCAAUGUGGUUCACGUGGCAGACAGUACACACAAAAGUAACCAUGGAAAAUAUACGAGUGGAGCAGCAGAAAUUUGAGCAGCCUCCGGAGUUGUAGGUGGGCGCCACCGACAGACGCCGAGUGGUGGCGGUGCGUACAUUCAUAAAAAACUAUUGUUUCGAUGUGCAACCCCCUUCAGACUCAAUCUAUUUAUCUACCUAACUGUCUGUCUGUCUAACUAUCUAUCUAUCUAUCUAUCACUCUCUCUCACUGUCUGUCUGUCUGUCUGUCUAUCUAUCUAUCAGUUGAUCUGUCUGUCUGUCUGUCUCAUUCUAUCACUCUAUCUAUCACUCUAUCUAUCUAUCUAUUUAUCUGUCUAUCUAACUGUCUGUCUGUCUGUCUGUCUAUCUAUCACUCUCUCUCACUGUCUGUCUGUCUGUCUAUCUAUCUAUCUAUCUAUCUAUCAAUUGAUCUAUCUUUCUGUCUGUCUGUCUGUCUGUCAUUCUAUUGCUCUAUCUGUCUAUUGUUCUAUCUAUCUAUCUAUCUAUCAUUCUGUCUGUCUGUCUGUCUGUCUCUAUCUAUCUAUCACUCUCUCUCACUGUCUGUCUGUCUAUCUAUCUAUCUAUCUAUCUAUCUAUCUAUCUAUCACUCUCUCUCACUGUCUGUCUGUCUGUCUAUCUAUCUAUCUAUCUAUCUAUCACUCUCUCUCACUGUCUGUCUGUCUAUCUAUCUAUCUAUCUAUCUAUCUAUCAAUCAUUCUGUCUGUCUGUCUGUCUGUCUAUCUAUCUAUCAAUUGAUCUAUCUGUCUCUGUCUGUCAUUCUAUCGCUCUAACUGUCUAUUGUUCUAUCUAUCUAUCUAUCUAUCUAUCUAUCUAUCUAUCAAUUGAUCUAUCUGUCUGUCUGUCAUUCUAUCGCUCUGUCUAUUGUUCUAUCUGUCUAUCUAUCUAUCUAUCUAUCUAUCUAUCUAUCUAUCUAUCUAUCUGUCUGUCUGUCUGUCUGUCAUUCUAUCUAUCUAUCACUCUCUCUCUCUCACUGUCUGUCUGUCUGUCUGUCUAUCUAUCUAUCAUUCUAUCGUUCUGUCUGUCUGUCUGUCUGUUUGUCUGUCUGCCUGUCUGUCUAUUUAUCUAUCUAUCGUUCUGUCUGUCUGUCUGUCUAUCUAUAUCAUUCUAUCGUUCUAUCUGUCUGUCUGUCUGUCUGUCUUUCUAUCAAUCUAUCAUUCUGUCUGUCUCUCUGUCCAUCCAUCCAUCCGUCUGUCUAUCUAUCUCUCUCUCUCUCUCUCUGUCUGUCUGUCUGUCUGUCUGUCAAUGUGACAGUCUUACUAUCUAGCUAGCUGGCUGUUUGUCUUGUCUGUAUAUCCAUGAACAUGCAAUAAUACAUGCAAGUCAUCCAGCUUCAGUAGCUGUUGACUUUUGAUACUAAGGACAUGUAUUUUUUGUAAAAACUGCGAACAGCUUUUUUUUGUCUGCACCAAAAGCUCUUGUGUGAAAGCACCCUUACACUUCUAUCAAUAAAUAACCUUGCAUUUAAUAUAGCCAUAAUACAAACAUUUUGUACAUAAUUACAAUUACAGAACUGUCUGUUUUCCUUUUUUUUUUUUGGUUCAUCUCAGUGCCAUGAUCUCUUGAUCAGUUUAUUUUCAGUUCAGGCUUCAUGAUGGCCCUCUCUGCAGCGGAUCAGACUGUCCUUUGGGGUGAGGUAGUAGGUUGUAUAGUUUUAGGGUGAUACCCUUCGUUUUAGAUAACUAUACAACUUACUGUCUUUCCUGAAGAGGCUGUAAUAUCAUCAUCUUCAUCACUGUUAAACUCGGCAGACAAACGGACGUGAAACCAUAAACACAACAUGACUGGGUUUCGAUGCAAGUCUUUGAAAUGUGAACUACAUGCAUCAAUGAAAUAUUUAUUUAUUAUUACUUUAUUUCUCUAUAAAACUGAAUUAGAGUUAAAUGUCUGCAGCUCGUUUGGUUGCAUGGGUUUAUUGAUUGAUUAAUUGAUUUAAUGAUCAAAUUGAUUGAAUUGUGAGAUGAUUUUAUCUCCAUUCUCCCUCUCUUUGGUCACUUGUGAUGUUCGUUCAGGGUGAGGUAGUAGGUUGUGUGGUUUCAGGGUAGUGAUUUUGCCCCAUCAGGAGUUAACUAUACAACCUACUGCCUUCCCUGGAGGGCAGCGAUACAGCAACUAAAUAUCAGCAGGGGGCGCUGCCAUCUCUGAUGCCAUCAGGACAUACAGGUACAUUCAAAUGAACUAUUGAACUAAACAUAAGAGUAAUUUUCCAUCAGCAUGUAUUUCUACAACUCUCAAGCAGAUACAUACGUAAAUAUUAUAAGAAUAUAUGAUUCACAACCAUAAGAAGAUCAGCACUGUCUGUUAAAAUUUCAUGAAGUGUAAAAGCUGUCUGACCAAUGUAAAUAAAUGCAACAUGCAAUAAACCAGACUAUCAAUAAAUAA